rnacentral:rRNA from 1 species
AGAACGAACGCUGGCGGCAUGCCUAAUACAUGCAAGUCGAACGAACUCUUCGGAGUUAGUGGCGCACGGGUGCGUAACGCGUGGGAAUCUGCCCCUUGGUUCGGAAUAACAGUUGGAAACGACUGCUAAUACCGGAUGAUGACGAAAGUCCAAAAAAUUUAUCGCCAAGGGAUGAGCCCGCGUAGGAUUAGCUAGUUGGUGAGGUAAAGCUCACCAAGGCAACGAUCCUUAGCUGGUCUGAGAGGAUGAUCAGCCACACUGGGACUGAGACACGGCCCAGACUCCUACGGGAGCAGCAAGGUAGGAAUACGUGGACAAGUGGGGCGAAAGCCGUAGAACUCCGAAGCCAAUCGGACCGCGUU